rnacentral:rRNA from 1 species
AACGCUAGCUACAGGCUUAACACAUGCAAGUCGAGGGGCAUCAGGAAGAAAGCUUGCUUUCUUUGCUGGCGACCGGCGCACGGGUGAGUAACACGUAUCCAACCUGCCCUUUACUCGGGGAUAGCCUUUCGAAAGAAAGAUUAAUACCCGAUAGCAUAAUGAUUCCGCAUGGUUUCAUUAUUAAAGGAUUCCGGUAAAGGAUGGGGAUGCGUUCCAUUAGGUUGUUGGUGAGGUAACGGCCCACCAAGCCUUCGAUGGAUAGGGGUUCUGAGAGGAAGGUCCCCCACAUUGGAACUGAGACACGGUCCAAACUCCUACGGGAGGCAGCAGUGAGGAAUAUUGGUCAAUGGGCGCUAGCCUGAACCAGCCAAGUAGCGUGAAGGAUGAAGGCUCUAUGGGUCGUAAACUUCUUUUAUAUAAGAAUAAAGUGCAGUAUGUAUACUGUUUUGUAUGUAUUAUAUGAAUAAGGAUCGGCUAACUCCGUGCCAGCAGCCGCGGUAAUACGGAGGAUCCGAGCGUUAUCCGGAUUUAUUGGGUUUAAAGGGAGCGUAGGUGGACUGGUAAGUCAGUUGUGAAAGUUUGCGGCUCAACCGUAAAAUUGCAGUUGAUACUGUCAGUCUUGAGUACAGUAGAGGUGGGCGGAAUUCGUGGUGUAGCGGUGAAAUGCUUAGAUAUCACGAAGAACUCCGAUUGCGAAGGCAGCUCACUGGACUGCAACUGACACUGAUGCUCGAAAGUGUGGGUAUCAAACAGGAUUAGAUACCCUGGUAGUCCACACAGUAAACGAUGAAUACUCGCUGUUUGCGAUAUACAGUAAGCGGCCAAGCGAAAGCAUUAAGUAUUCCACCUGGGGAGUACGCCGGCAACGGUGAAACUCAAAGGAAUUGACGGGGGCCCGCACAAGCGGAGGAACAUGUGGUUUAAUUCGAUGAUACGCGAGGAACCUUACCCGGGCUUAAAUUGCAGUGGAAUGAUGUGGAAACAUGUCAGUGAGCAAUCACCGCUGUGAAGGUGCUGCAUGGUUGUCGUCAGCUCGUGCCGUGAGGUGUCGGCUUAAGUGCCAUAACGAGCGCAACCCUUAUCUUUAGUUACUAACAGGUUAUGCUGAGGACUCUAGAGAGACUGCCGUCGUAAGAUGUGAGGAAGGUGGGGAUGACGUCAAAUCAGCACGGCCCUUACGUCCGGGGCUACACACGUGUUACAAUGGGGGGUACAGAAGGCAGCUAGCGGGUGACCGUAUGCUAAUCCCAAAAUCCUCUCUCAGUUCGGAUCGAAGUCUGCAACCCGACUUCGUGAAGCUGGAUUCGCUAGUAAUCGCGCAUCAGCCACGGCGCGGUGAAUACGUUCCCGGGCCUUGUACACACCGCCCGUCAAGCCAUGGGAGCCGGGGGUACCUGAAGUACGUAACCGCAAGGAUCGUCCUAGGGUAAAACUAGUGACUGGG